rnacentral:lncRNA from 1 species
UCACCAUUUUAAUUGUACAUGUAACCCAAGAGAACCACCUUCCAGCUGCACUUUUACCCUUAUCUGGGAGAGGAGGAACCUUGUCGAGGAAGUGAGGGCUUCUAUUUUCCCCACGUUGCACUACUCAGUGAGACAGAGAGACAAGUUCCUCCUCAGAGCACCCUGCUCAUCCCCACUGACAAAAGUCUCUGUUUACGUAAGCAGAAUCUCCGGUCACUGUAUCCACCAGUCUGGUGUCUCCACACCCACUUCCACUGUACGUGUCAAGAUUCAUACCUGAACAUGAGACAUCAAAUCAAGCAGCAAGAUUACCUGGAAGCUCCUUGAAUCAGACCUCCAACUUCUUAGAAAAUUAUGCAUGGAUCCUCCAGUUAACAGGCCCACUUCAUUACACCAUCAUAACUGCGCACCAGAGCAUUUUGUCCUGUCCGUCAAAUGAGAUGAAUACAGCAAAGAAUCUUUAAGUUCACAGAAGCAGUCUGCUUCAAAGUGCGCACACACAGCAGCAAAAUAAAAAUC